rnacentral:rRNA from 1 species
GACGAACGCUGGCGGCGUGCCUAAUACAUGCAAGUCGAGCGAGCGGAACUAACAGAUUUACUUCGGUAAUGACGUUAGGAAAGCGAGCGGCGGAUGGGUGAGUAACACGUGGGGAACCUGCCCCAUAGUCUGGGAUACCACUUGGAAACAGGUGCUAAUACCGGAUAAGAAAGCAGAUCGCAUGAUCAGCUUUUAAAAGGCGGCGUAAGCUGUCGCUAUGGGAUGGCCCCGCGGUGCAUUAGCUAGUUGGUAAGGUAAAGGCUUACCAAGGCGAUGAUGCAUAGCCGAGUUGAGAGACUGAUCGGCCACAUUGGGACUGAGACACGGCCCAAACUCCUACGGGAGGCAGCAGUAGGGAAUCUUCCACAAUGGACGCAAGUCUGAUGGAGCAACGCCGCGUGAGUGAAGAAGGUUUUCGGAUCGUAAAGCUCUGUUGUCGGUGAAGAAGGAUAGAGGUAGUAACUGGCCUUUAUUUGACGGUAAUCAACCAGAAAGUCACGGCUAACUACGUGCCAGCAGCCGCGGUAAUACGUAGGUGGCAAGCGUUGUCCGGAUUUAUUGGGCGUAAAGCGAGCGCAGGCGGAAGAAUAAGUCUGAUGUGAAAGCCCUCGGCUUAACCGAGGAACUGCACCGGAAACUGUUUUUCUUGAGUGCAGAAGAGGAGAGUGGAACUCCAUGUGUAGCGGUGGAAUGCGUAGAUAUAUGGAAGAACACCAGUGGCGAAGGCGGCUCUCUGGUCUGCAACUGACGCUGAGGCUCGAAAGCAUGGGUAGCGAACAGGAUUAGAUACCCUGGUAGUCCAUGCCGUAAACGAUGAGUGCUAAGUGUUGGGAGGUUUCCGCCUCUCAGUGCUGCAGCUAACGCAUUAAGCACUCCGCCUGGGGAGUACGACCGCAAGGUUGAAACUCAAAGGAAUUGACGGGGGCCCGCACAAGCGGUGGAGCAUGUGGUUUAAUUCGAAGCAACGCGAAGAACCUUACCAGGUCUUGACAUCUAGUGCCAUUUGUAGAGAUACAAAGUUCCCUUCGGGGACGCUAAGACAGGUGGUGCAUGGCUGUCGUCAGCUCGUGUCGUGAGAUGUUGGGUUAAGUCCCGCAACGAGCGCAACCCUUGUUAUUAGUUGCCAGCAUUAAGUUGGGCACUCUAAUGAGACUGCCGGUGACAAACCGGAGGAAGGUGGGGAUGACGUCAAGUCAUCAUGCCCCUUAUGACCUGGGCUACACACGUGCUACAAUGGGCAGUACAACGAGAAGCGAUCCUGCGAAGGCAAGCGAAUCUCUGAAAGCUGUUUUCAGUUCGGACUGCAGUCUGCAACUCGACUGCACGAAGCUGGAAUCGCUAGUAAUCGCGGAUCAGCACGCCGCGGUGAAUACGUUCCCGGGCCU